rnacentral:rRNA from 1 species
UACGUAGGGGGGCAAGCGUUGUCCGGAUUUAUUGGGCGUAAAGAGCGUGUAGGCGGUUAGGUAGGUCCGUUGUGAAAACUCGAGCUCAACCUCGAGACGCCGAUGGAAACCCCCCUAACUAGAGUCCGGAAGAGGAGAGUGGAAUUCCUGGUGUAGCGGUGGAAAUGCGCAGAUAUCAGGAAGAACACCCGUGGCUAAGGCGGCUCUCUAGUACGGUACUGACGCUGAGACGCGAAAGCGUGGGGAGCGAACAGG